rnacentral:rRNA from 1 species
GACGAACGCUGGCGGCGUGCCUAAUACAUGCAAGUAGAACGCUGAAGGAGGAGCUUGCUUCUCUGGAUGAGUUGCGAACGGGUGAGUAACGCGUAGGUAACCUGCCUGGUAGCGGGGGAUAACUAUUGGAAACGAUAGCUAAUACCGCAUAAUAGUAGAUGUUGCAUGACAUUUGCUUAAAAGGUGCAAUUGCAUCACUACCAGAUGGACCUGCGUUGUAUUAGCUAGUUGGUGGGGUAACGGCUCACCAAGGCGACGAUACAUAGCCGACCUGGGAGGGUGAUCGGCCACACUGGGACUGAGACACGGCCCAGACUCCUACGAGAGGCAGCAGUAGGGAAUCUUCGGCAAUGGACGGAAGUCUGACCGAGCAACGCCGCGGGAGUGAAGAAGGUUUUCGGAUCGUAAAGCUCUGUUGUAAGAGAAGAACGAGUGUGAGAGUGGAAAGUUCACACUGUGACGGUAUCCUACCAGAAAGGGACGGCUAACUACGUG